rnacentral:rRNA from 1 species
UACGGAGGGUGCGAGCGUUGUCCGGAAUCACUGGGCGUAAAGGGCGCGUAGGCGGCUCAUGAAGUCUGUGGUGAAAGUCCGGGGCUCAACCUCGGAUCGGCCGUGGCGACUCGUGGGCUGGAGCACUGUAGAGGCGGGUGGAAUUCCGGGUGUAGCGGUGGAAUGCGUAGAGAUCCGGAAGAACACCAGUGGCGAAGGCGGCCCGCUGGGCAGUGGCUGACGCUGAGGCGCGACAGCGUGGGGAGCAAACAGG